UCGGCAACGGAUAUCUCGGCUCUCGCAUCGAUGAAGAACGUAGCGAAAUGCGAUACUUGGUGUGAAUUGCAGAAUCCCGUGAACCAUCAAGUCUUUGAACGCAAGUUGCGCCCGAAGCCAUUUGGCCUAGGGCACGUCUGCCUGGGCGUCACGUACAAUGUCACUCCACCAAAACUCUCCUUGAAGAGCUGGGCGGAGUGGAGAUUGGUCUCCCGUGCAAGACCU
rnacentral:rRNA from 1 species